GCGCGCGUUCUUCGCUGGUUGCGAGCGUCGCAGCGCCUUUGGGGACGUGUGAGAGAGUGUUUUGGAAGACUCUUUGCUGUCCUGAACCAGUAGGGUCACUGGUUGGAGGCUUGGCGAGGUUUUUGAACCACGUGGAGCUUAUUUGAUGACCUGGGAGGCUGGUUUAGAAGGUGUUCUACCCUAAGCGAGAGGGUGUUUGACCCUUGGACCGCCUUCGUUUGGCCUUGGAGGACCUUUUGGAAGCUUAACGUGAGG